rnacentral:rRNA from 1 species
CGCGUAAGAAUCUACCUUUAGGAAAAGAUAACAAUUGGAAACGAUUGCUAAUAUUUUAUAUGCUGAGAAGUUAAAUGGGUUUCCGCCUAAAGAUGAGCUUGCGUCUGAUUAGCUAGUUGGUAGGGUAAAUGCUUACCAAGGCAAUUAUCAGUAGUUGGUCUGAGAGGAUGAUCAGCCACACUGGGACUGAGACACGGCCCAGACUCCUACGGGAGGCAGCAGUGAGGAAUUUUUCGCAAUGGGCGCAAGCCUGACGAAGCAAUGCCGCGUGAAGGAUGAAGGCCUGCGGGUUGUAAACUU